rnacentral:rRNA from 1 species
AUGAAGUCGAGCGGUAACAGAAAGUAGCUUGCUACUUUGCUGACGAGCGGCGGACGGGUGAGUAAUGCUUGGGAACAUGCCUUGAGGUGGGGGACAACAGUUGGAAACGACUGCUAAUACCGCAUAAUGUCUACGGACCAAAGGGGGCUUCGGCUCUCGCCUUUAGAUUGGCCCAAGUGGGAUUAGCUAGUUGGUGAGGUAAUGGCUCACCAAGGCAACGAUCCCUAGCUGGUUUGAGAGGAUGAUCAGCCACACUGGAACUGAGACACGGUCCAGACUCCUACGGGAGGCAGCAGUGGGGAAUAUUGCACAAUGGGCGAAAGCCUGAUGCAGCCAUGCCGCGUGUGUGAAGAAGGCCUUCGGGUUGUAAAGCACUUUCAGUCAGGAGGAAAGGGUGUGAGUUAAUACCUCACAUCUGUGACGUUACUGACAGAAGAAGCACCGGCUAACUCCGUGCCAGCAGCCGCGGUAAUACGGAGGGUGCGAGCGUUAAUCGGAAUUACUGGGCGUAAAGCGUACGCAGGCGGUUUGUUAAGCGAGAUGUGAAAGCCCCGGGCUCAACCUGGGAACUGCAUUUCGAACCGGCAAACUAGAGUGUGAUAGAGGGUGGUAGAAUUUCAGGUGUAGCGGUGAAAUGCGUAGAGAUCUGAAGGAAUACCGAUGGCGAAGGCAGCCACCUGGGUCAACACUGACGCUCAUGUACGAAAGCGUGGGGAGCAAACGGGAUUAGAUACCCCGGUAGUCCACGCCGUAAACGAUGUCUACUAGAAGCUCGGAACCUCGGUUCUGUUUUUCAAAGCUAACGCAUUAAGUAGACCGCCUGGGGAGUACGGCCGCAAGGUUAAAACUCAAAUGAAUUGACGGGGGCCCGCACAAGCGGUGGAGCAUGUGUUUAAUUCGAUGCAACGCGAAGAACCUUACCUACACUUGACAUACAGAGAACUUUCUAGAGAUAGAUUGUGCCUUCAGGAACUCUGAUACAGGUGCUGCAUGCUGUCGUCAGCUCGUGUGGGAGAUGUGGGUAAGUCCCGCACGAGCGCAACCCCUAUUCUUAGUGGCUAGCAGGUAAUGCUUAGAACUCUAAAGAGAAUUGCCGGGUAU